rnacentral:rRNA from 1 species
ACUCAAAUGAAUAGACGGGGGCCCGCACAAGCGGUGGAGUAUGUGGUUUAAUUCGAUGCAACGCGAAGAACCUUACCUGGGCUUGACAUCCGGCGCUAUCCCGUGAAAGCGGGAGUUCCUUCGGGACGCCGAGACAGGUGCUGCAUGGCUGUCGUCAGCUCGUGUCGUGAGAUGUUGGGUUAAGUCCCGCAACGAGCGCAACCCUUGCCAUUAGUUGCCAGCAUUAAGUUGGGCACUCUAAUGGGACCGCUUGCCGAUAAGGCAGAGGAAGGUGGGGAUGACGUCAAGUCCGCAUGGCUCUUACGCCCAGGGCUACACACGUACUACAAUGGCCGGUACAAUGCGCUGCUAAGCCGCGAGGUGGAGCAAAUCGACUAAAACCGGUCUCAGUUCGGAUUGGAGUCUGCAACUCGACUCCAUGAAGCUGGAAUCGCUAGUAAUCGUGGAUCAGCAUGCCACGGUGAAUACGUUCCCGGGCCUUGUACACACCGCCCGU